rnacentral:rRNA from 1 species
UACGUAGGGGGCCAGCGUUGCUCGGAAUUACUGGGCGUAAAGGGUUCGUAGGCGGUGUGGCAAGUCGGGCGUGAAAUCUCUGGGCUCAACUCAGAGGCUGCUUCCGAAACUGCCCAUGCUUGAGUGCGGGAGAGGCGAGUGGAAUUACAGGUGUAGCGGUGAAAUGCGUAGAUAUCUGUAGGAACACCCGUGGCGAAGGCGGCUCGCUGGACCGCAACUGACGCUGAGGAACGAAAGCUAGGGGAGCAAACAGG